rnacentral:rRNA from 1 species
ACAAACGGCGGGCUACCAUGCAGUCGAACGGUAACAGGGAAAAGCUUGCUUUUCCGCUGACGAGUGGCGCACGGGUGCGUAACGCGUAUGGAACCUACCCUUUACAGGGGGAUAGCCCGGAGAAAUCCGGAUUAAUACCCCGUAGUAUUAUGAUACGGCAUCGUAUUAUAAUUAAAGUUUCGGCGGUAGAGGAUGGCCAUGCGUCCUAUUAGUUAGAUGGUGAGGUAACGGCUCACCAUGGCAUCGAUAGGUAGGGGCCCUGAGAGGGGGAUCCCCCACACUGGUACUGAGACACGGACCAGACUCCUACGGGAGGCAGCAGUGAGGAAUAUUGGACAAUGGUCGAGAGACUGAUCCAGCCAUGCCGCGUGCAGGAAGACGGCCCUACGGGUUGUAAACUGCUUUUGUACGGGAAGAAUAAUGCCCACGUGUGGGCAGAUGACGGUACCGUACGAAUAAGGACCGGCUAACUCCGUGCCAGCAGCCGCGGUAAUACGGAGGGUCCGAGCGUUAUCCGGAAUCAUUGGGUUUAAAGGGUCCGCAGGCGGAUCAGUAAGUCAGAGGUGAAAGUUUGCAGCUCAACUGUAAAAUUGCCUUUGAUACUGCUGGUCUUGAGUUACGAUGAAGUGGCUGGAAUAUGUGGUGUAGCGGUGAAAUGCAUAGAUAUCACAUAGAACACCGAUUGCGAAGGCAGGUCACUAAUCGCCAACUGACGCUGAUGGACGAAAGCGUGGGGAGCGAACGGGAUUAGAUACCCCGGUAGUCCACGCCGUAAACGAUGGACACUAGCUGUUGGGCCUCUGGUUCAGUGGCUAAGCGGAAGUGAUAAGUGUCCCACCUGGGGAGUACGUCGGCAACGAUGAAACUCAAAGGAAUUGACGGGGGCCCGCACAAGCGGUGGAGCAUGUGGUUUAAUUCGAUGAUACGCGAGGAAACCUUACCAGGGCUUUAAUGUAAUGGACAGGCCUUAGAGAUAGGCUUUUUCUUCGGACUCAUUUACCAGUGCUGCAUGGAUUGUCGUCAGCUCGUGCCGUGAGGUGUCAGGUUAGUCUAUACGAGCGCACCCCUAUCGGUAGUGGCAGCCGGGUAAGCAGGGACUCUAACUAAACUGCGAUGCAUCCGUGAGAGCUGGGUAUGACGGUUCCGAAAC